rnacentral:rRNA from 1 species
CAGUAGCCGCGGUAAUACGUAGGGUGCAAGCGUUGUCCGGAAUUAUUGGGCGUAAAGAGCUCGUAGGCGGUUUGUCGCGUCUGCUGUGAAAUCCCGAGGCUCAACCUCGGGCUUGCAGUGGGUACGGGCAGACUAGAGUGCGGUAGGGGAGAUUGGAAUUCCUGGUGUAGCGGUGGAAUGCGCAGAUAUCAGGAGGAACACCGAUGGCGAAGGCAGAUCUCUGGGCCGUAACUGACGCUGAGGAGCGAAAGCAUGGGGAGCGAACAGGAUUAGAUACCCCAGUAGUCCCUGUCUCUUAUAC